rnacentral:pre_miRNA from 1 species
GGGGGGAGGCCGGAUCCUGGGCUGUGUCCCGGCGCCCUGUGUUCAGGGGCCUGCGCUGUUGGAUUUGCGCUCCCGCCCCCAGCCCCCU